UUGGUGAGGUAAUGGCUCACCAAGGCGACGACGGGUAGCCGGCCUGAGAGGGCGACCGGCCACACUGGGACUGAGACGCGGCCCAGACUCCUACGGGAGGCAGCAGUGGGGAAUAUUGCACAAUGGGCGAAAGCCUGAUGCAGCGACGCCGCGUGAGGGAUGACGGCCUUCGGGUCGUAAACCUCUUUCAGCAGGGAAGAAGCGAAAGUGACGGUACCUGCAGAAGAAGCGCCGGCUAACUACGUGCCAGCAGCCGCGGUAAUACGUAGGGCGCAAGCGUUGUCCGGAAUUAUUGGGCGUAAAGAGCUCGUAGGCGGUCUGUCGCGUCGGAUGUGAAAGCCCGGGGCUUAACCCCGGGUCUGCAUUCGAUACGGGCAGACUAGAGUGUGGUAGGGGAGAUCGGAAUUCCUGGUGUAGCGGUGAAAUGCGCAGAUAUCAGGAGGAACACCGGUGGCGAAGGCGGAUCUCUGGGCCAUUACUGACGCUGAGGAGCGAAAGCGUGGGGAGCGAACAGGAUUAGAUACCCUGGUAGUCCACGCCGUAAACGGUGGGAGCUAGGUGUUGGCGACAUUCCACGUCGUCGGUGCCGCAGCUAACGCAUUAAGUUCCCCGCCUGGGGAGUACGG
rnacentral:rRNA from 1 species